GGCGGGGCGAGGGGCGCGCAGGCGCGAGGGCGGCAGCGACCGCCUGAGGGUUAACCAAUGAAGCCUCGUUCACCAGAAGAUGUGCCCUGCUGAUGAUAUUUACAGAAGUUACUUUCUGCAGGGUUAACCAAUGAAGCCUCGUUCACCAGAAGAUGUGCCCUGCUGAUGAUAUUUACAGAAGUUACUUUCUGCAGGGUUAACCAAUGAAGGUUCGUACACCAGAAAAUGUGCCCUGCUGAUGAUAUUUAAAGAAGUUACUUUCUGCAGGGUUAACCAGUGAAGGCUCGUACACCAGAAAAUGUGGCCUGCUGAUGAUAUUUAAAGAAACGGGCUGGGCGCAGUGGCUCACGCCUGUAAUCCCAGCACUUUGGGAGGCCGAGGUGGGCCAAUCACCUGAGGUCGGGAGUUUGAGACCAGCCUGGCCAACAUGGAGAAACCCCAUCUCUACUAAAAAUACAAAAUUAGCUGGGCGUGGUGGUGCAUACCUGUAAUCCCAGCUACUCGGGAGGCGGAGGCAGGAGAAUGCUUGAACCUGGAAGGCUGAGGUUGCAGUGACCCAAGAUGGCGCCAUUGCACUCCAGCCUGGGCAACAAAAGCAAAAUUCCGUCUCAAAAAACAAAAAAAAAGUCUGCUGCAGGAUUGCAGGGGGCAUCACAAGUGGUACAUUAGUUUUUUUUUAUGAUUUCAUAGACAAAAAUUAUUUUUUGAAAUCUGACAAUACCAACUGCUAACCAGGAUAUAGAGAAACAAGAACUUGACAAAUGGGAUCUAGUUAAACUAAAGAGCUUCUGCACAGCAAAAGAAACUACCGUCAGAGUGAACAGGCAACCUACAGAAUGGGAGAAAAAUUUUACAAUCUACCUGUGCGGUGGCUCAUACUUGUAAUCCCAGUACAUUGGGAAGCCAAAGCAACGACCAGCCUGACAAAGGGCUGAUAUCCAGAAUCUACAAAGAACUUAAACAGAUUUACAAGAAAAAAACCCCAUCAAAAAGUGGGCGAAGGACAUGAACAGACACUUCUCACAGUAAGACAUUUAUGCAGCCAACAGACACAUGAAAAAAUGCUCAUCAUCACUGGCCAUCAGAGAAAUGCA
rnacentral:lncRNA from 10 species